AAAGAAUCGCCCACUGAAAGUCAAUAUAAGGAGGUUAAUUGGAGAACAAGAAUCAAUCAUUUUCGUUCUUGCAAUGGCUAGGCUCAGUUCUUGCAUAGGUUAUUUCUUUGUCUUUGUAAUACUCCAAUCUUUCAGGGCAUCUGCUAGUAGUUCAGCACAGAAGACUGCUUCUGGUGCCUUGUUUAUCUUUGGUGAUUCUUCUGUUGAUGUUGGCAACAAUAAUUACAUCACCACCAUCCCUGAAAACCAAGCUGAUGUGAAGCCUUAUGGCCAGAAUGGCUUCUUUGAAGGACCAACCGGACGCUUCUCCGACGGCCGUGUCAUAGUUGAUUUUAUCGCUGACUAUGCAAACUUGCCAUUAAUUUCUCCAUUUUUACAACCGUCUGCUGAUCACACACAUGGUGCUAACUUUGCCUCCGCCGGUGGUGGUGUUCUCCCCGAGACUAAUCAAGGGUUGGUAAUAGAUCUUCCAACGCAGCUUAAAAAUUUCGAAGAAGUGCAGAAAUCAUUAACAGAAAAGCUAGGAGAAGCACAAGCCACAGAACUCAUAUCAGAAGCAGUUUAUUUCAUCAGCAUAGGAAGUAAUGAUUACUUGGGUGGUUAUUUGGGUAAUCCAAAAAUGCAAGAAACUUACAUCCCUGAAGUCUACGUUGGGAUGGUCAUUGGUAAUUUGACCAAUGCAAUACAGGCCUUGUAUGAGAGGGGGGCUAGAAAAUUUGCCUUUCUAAGCCUGUGUCCUCUAGGUUGCCUGCCAGUUUUGAGAGCAAUGAACCCCAAAGCCAGUGAAAGUGGCUGCUUUGAGGCAGGUUCUUCCCUAGCAUUGGCACAUAACAAUGCCUUGAAAGCUAUCCUGACAAGCCUUGAAUAUAUAUUGAAAGGGUUCAAGUACUGCAACUCCAAUUUCUACAACUGGCUUGAUGACAGGAUAAAGAAUCCCUCCAAGUAUGGUUUCAAAGAUGGAGUGAAUGCUUGUUGUGGAAGCGGACCUUAUGGGGGUCUCUUAACCUGCGGAGGCAACAAGAAAGUUACGGAAUUCCAGUUAUGCAAUAAUGCUGACGAGCAUGUUUGGUGGGAUUCUUUCCAUCCAACGGAGAGGAUCCAUGAACAAUUUGCAAAAGCUCUGUGGAAUGGAUCCCCAUUCUCUGUAGGACCUUACAAUCUAGAGGAUCUCUUCUUCAACAAGGAAAAGCUAACCAUUGCUGAUAUAGUUGAUGCACCUGAUGGUGAGCACUUCCAAUAAGGAGAGUUUGGGAAGAUCAUGCAUGUCCUGAAUAAUUAAGAAGUCUGUCUUUUCAACAUGUGAGACAUGCAAUGAUCAGUAUUAGCCUUCCUAAUUCCUAAAUUUUGCAAGCACUCUUAUGCUUUUUAUGAAAAAUUUUUGCUUAAAUUUGAUUCAUCAUAGAUCAUGUGAAACCCAUGUCAGAUCGAUAUUUUAU
rnacentral:misc_RNA from 1 species